GCGUCUGUAGCUCAGCUGGAUAGAGCACACGCCUUCUAAGCGUGCGGUCAAAGGUUCGAAUCCUUUCAGGCGUGCCA
rnacentral:tRNA from 2 species